CUGUGACAAGGAGUGGAUUUUAAUUCAGCGAAGGGGAACACCAACUUCGCCAGGGAACGAGAGAACAAGUUUCGAAAGGGUUUGGACAGAAUAUGAAAAUGGGUUUGGCAGCCUUGAUGGGGAUUUCUUUCUAGGCUUGAGGACCAUCCAUGAGCUGACAGUGGAGGGAUAUACGCAGUUACGGGUCGAUCUGGAAGACUGGGAAGGGGUAAAGAGCUACGCGACGUACGGGGUCUUCAAAGUCGCGGAUGCCGGAGAUAAAUACCGUUUAACCGUCGAGAAUUUUAACGGAACUGAAGACGAUGAAUUAAUUUUGAAUGAUGGACAGCAGUUCAGUACAAUUGACAACGACAACGAUGAUAGCACUCAAAAUUGUGCCGACUUGGGCCGCGGUGGCUGGUGGUAUUUUACAUGCUUCCAUGGCAACUUGAACUCUGUAUAUUCUAAUCCAAAUACCACGGAAAGGUCUU